rnacentral:rRNA from 1 species
CGGACAGUGUCUGGUGGGUAGUUUGACUGGGGCGGUCUCCUCCUAAAGAGUAACGGAGGAGCACGAAGGUUGGCUAAUCCUGGUCGGACAUCAGGAGGUUAGUGCAAUGGUAUAAGCCAGCUUGACUGCGAGCGUGACGGCGCGAGCAGGUGCGAAAGCAGGUCAUAGUGAUCCGGUGGUUCUGAAUGGAAGGGCCAUCGCUCAACGGAUAAAAGGUACUCCGGGGAUAACAGGCUGAUACCGCCCAAGAGUUCAUAUCGACGGCGGUGUUUGGCACCUCGAUGUCGGCUCAUCACAUCCUGGGGCUGAAGUAGGUCCCAAGGGUAUGGCUGUUCGCCAUUUAAAGUGGUACGCGAGCUGGGUUUAGAACGUCGUGAGACAGUUCGGUCCCUAUCUGCCGUGGGCGCUGGAGAACUGAGGGGGGCUGCUCCUAGUACGAGAGGACCGGAGUGGACGCAUCACUGGUGUUCGGGUUGUCAUGCCAAUGGCACUGCCCGGUAGCUAAAUGCGGAAGAGAUAAGUGCUGAAAGCAUCUAAGCACGAAACUUGCCCCGAGAUGAGUUCUCCCUGAGACUUAAAGUCUCCUGAAGGAACGUUGAAGACGACGACGUUGAUAGGCCGGGUGUGUAAGCGCAGCGAUGCGUUGAGCUAACCGGUACUAAUGAACCGUGAGGCUUAACCUUACAACGCCGAAG